CCCAGCCUGCGGCGUGCGUGAUUGCCGGUUAAUAUAAUCCAACACUUAUAUUAAGGGAGCUUUGACUCCAAAGCGGAUUGCAGACCUCCCGGCCCCCGGCCGGACGAAGGGAGCGUGAAGCGUAGGGCGGGCACCCACCUGUCGGUAGACGGGUUUUAUCAUCCGGUGUAACGGCGCUGCGGGUCAUCA
rnacentral:other from 1 species